CGAUUUUCUUAGUAGCGGCGAGCGAAAGGGAAAGAGCCCAAACCGGAAACUUGUUUCCGGGGUUGUGGACAUAACAUAAAAGUGGAGGCUAUUGUAACUGAAGAGAACUGGAAAGUUCCACCGUAGAAGGUAAUAGUCCUGUAAGUGAAACGAGAAGACCACGAGUUAUGAUCCAGAGUACCACGAGACACGUGAAACCUUGUGGGAAGCAGGGAGGACCACCUCCCAAGGCUAAAUACUACCUGAUGACCGAUAGUGAAGCAGUACCGUGAGGGAAAGGUGAAAAGAACCCCGGGAGGGGAGUGAAAUAGAACCUGAAACCGUGUGCCUACAACCGCUCAGAGCCCCUUAUGAGGGUGAUGAGGUGCUUUUUGUAGAACGAGCCAACGAGUUACGGUAUGUAGCAAGGUUAAGUACUUAAGGUACGGAGCCGAAGGGAAACCGAGUCUGAAUAGGGCGACUAGUUGCAUGCCGUAGACCCGAAACCGGGUGACCUAUCCAUGGCCAGGUUGAAGCGAGGGUAAAACCUCGUGGAGGACCGAACCACGUUGCUGUUGAAAAAGCAUGGGAUGAGCUGUGGAUAGCGGAGAAAUUCCAAUCGAACCCGGAGAUAGCUGGUUCUCUCCGAAAUAGCUUUAGGGCUAGCGUCGAGUAUGAGUAGUGGAGGUAGAGCACUGAAUGGGCUAGGGGGCAUAGCGCUUACCGAACCUUAUCAAACUCCGAAUGCCACAUACUUUGAGCUCGGCAGUCAGACUACGAAUGAUAAGAUCCGUGGUCAAAAGGGAAACAGCCCAGAUCGUCAGCUAAGGUCCCAAAGUGUAAGUUAAGUGGGAAAGGAUGUGAGAUUUCUAAGACAACUAGGAUGUUGGCUUAGAAGCAGCCAUUCAUUAAAAGAGUGCGUAAUAGCUCACUAGUCGAGAGAUCUUGCGCCGAAAAUGUAACGGGGCUAAACUUACCACCGAAGCUACGGGCUUGAACUUAGUUCAAGCGGUAGGAGAGCGUCGUAACCGGGCUGAAGUCGUACCGUAAGGAGCGGUGGACUGGUUACGAGUGAGAAUGUUGGCAUCAGUAGCGAGAUGUGGGUGAGAAUCCCACAGGCCGAAAACCUAAGGUUUCCUCAGGAAGGUUCGUCCGCUGAGGGUUAGUCGGGACCUAAGCCGAGGCCGAAAGGCGUAGGUGAUGGACAACUGGUUGAUAUUCCAGUACCACUACCAUCGUUAUUAUCGAUGGCGUGACGCAGGAGGAUAGUGUGUGCUAGCUAUUGGAUGCUAGUCUAAGCGUUUAGGCAGUGAGAGUAGGCAAAUCCGCUCUCAUAAUGCUGAGGCGUGAUGGGGAAGGUUC
rnacentral:rRNA from 1 species